UACGAAGGGGGGCUAGCGUUGCUCGGAAUCACUGGGCGUAAAGCGCACGUAGGCGGCUUGUUAAGUCAGGGGUGAAAUCCUGGAGCUCAACUCCAGAACUGCCUUUGAUACUGGCAAGCUUGGAGUCCGGGAGAGGUGAGUGGAACUGCGAGUGUAGAGGUGAAAUUCGUAGAUAUCGGGAGGAACACCAGUGGCGAAGGCGGCGACCUGGGCCAAUAUUGACGCUGAGGUGCGAAAGCGUGGGGAGCAAACAGG
rnacentral:rRNA from 1 species